UUCCAUAGGUUUCACUUGACAGUGUGGACAACAGUAUCUUCGUUCCGUCCUUUUUAAGUGUUUUGUGGUCUUAGGUGUAGUAGAUUGUGCCGAAAAGUGUGACGAUUGUGGAGGUGGCAGCCGUGAUCCACACCUGGCACCCUACCCCUUACGCCCCAGCAGUUUGUGUCCGCCUGCCGAGCGCUGUGUACUUUGCAUUCACCUCUCCUAUUUUAUUUUGAAGUCUCUAGUAAUUGUACUCAGUUAUCACUUGUGAGGAUAUAUUCGUUACUAGACCGUGCUUUAUACAAUACUCUGCCUUGUAUCUUUGGCGAACACCAAGCUGUCAGCUGUUUUACGAUUACAUGGUAUAUAUACUAGGCUGAUAUUUGGUGGCAUAAAGUGAGUGGGACAAAACUGUUGUUAGAAAUAGUAAUUUUAGCAGAUGUGUGUAUUGGAGAGCCAGAAUCACGAGUGCCACCUGGUAAGGGCCGUCUUCUGACAUCUCAAGCACCGUCGCCGCCACCACACUCCACCAUGAUCUCCGUGGCCGGGAUUUUCAACUUCAUAUACAACCCCUCUGUUGGUGCUGUUCAUUUCGGCGCACUUAUUAGUAGGUGGAGCACUGACGUUUGGUGCGGGUGUGUAUGCUGGCAUCUACAUCACCCAGAACUACGAUGUACCCCGUAUUGAUGAACCAUCCAAACUCUGGGAAAAGGUCAAAGAAUGGACAGAAUCACAUAAGAAGAAG